rnacentral:misc_RNA from 1 species
AACGCACCUUGCGCCCUUUGGUAUUCCGAAGGGCAUGCCUGUUUGAGUGUCAUUAUAUUCUCAACCUUGCAAAGCUUGCUUUGUUAGGCUUGGAUGUGAGGGCUUUGCUGGCUUCCAUUGAGUUGGAUGGUCUGCUCCCUUCAAAUUUAUUAGUGGGAUCCUUUUGUGGAUGGUCACUUGGUGUGAUAAUUAUCUACGCCGCCUGACUGUGAAGCAAAACUUGUGGGGACCUGCUUAUAACUGUCUCUUUGGGGACUAUCUUUGACUAUUUGACCUCAAAUCAGGUAGGACUACCCGCUGAACUUAA